GUGAUAUGUUUUGCAGACUAUUUUUAUGAAGCGAAAACUACAUAAUCAUGUGGAUUUUGAAUACUAUGCAAACUGCACACCAGAGGAUGAUAAGAGAGACCGAAUUCUGAAGCUUUUUUAUGAGUUUGUUUUGGGAUCAAGAAUGAAGAAUUUGCAGUCACCUAGAGUGGUAAAGAGGCUUUCCGAAGCACUGAGGUGCUCGAUGAAACACUUCUAGUCAGAAAGGUCCAGGACAAAAUAUUUAACUUCUGUAUAUGUGAGAGGGAGAAAUCUAUGCCAGGUUGUUAAAGCACGUCUAUAAGUGUAUACCUGACUGCUGCUGGCCACCAGCUGAUCUGCGAUUGGCACCACUACCACCCCAGAAGAAAAAGGCUUAUGGGUGAAAAACAGAUAGUAGGAUACCACCCUGGAGGAUACCAGACUGAGAGGAAAAGGCAGCUUAGCAAGUCCUUGCAUGUUUUGAGGCGAGUCAAUGCUUUAGCAGCACUGGAAACUAUCUAGCCUUAGCCUGCCUUAAUGUAUGUAUCACAUUACAAACUAGAGUAGUUCUUAGUAACAUGGUGAUGUUUGUGCAUUUUUUUAAGUAUGUUGUUUAGCAACUAAGUCUGUCACAAAUGAAUGCUAUUUGCUGAAAAUCAAAUGAUAAAAUGGGACUGAAUCUUAAUUCACCUUGUUCCCUGACCCACGACUUGCUCACUUGGCUCAUUGCAACUUCUAACAGAUAAACAGGGUGAAUAGAAAAAAAAUGUGUAAAUGCUGUUUUUGUCUGUAAUCCGAGCUUUGAGUUACUUGUCUGCAAGGUGGCUCAGGCCACCCACUGUUCACUGUUUUACUGUCAGUAUAAGGAAUGGAACCUUCCCUUUUAUUGAAAAAUGCCCAAAUCCUAACAUAAAUGCUAGCUCUAUUUGACAUCCAAGUAGAGUGUUUUAAAGCAGGUUUAGGAGGGUAAUGGAAAUGCCACUGUUGUAAAUAACUUGCAUACAGCGGCAAGCAAUUGUGCUCUCAGCUGAGAGAAACAUCCAUGGUUCUAGGGGUAUUGAAAAAAAAAUCUUUAAAGCGAUUCAGUUUUUUAAUUGAUAAUGAAAACCACAUAACUGUCAGAGUGGACAGAAUUUACUUGAAGCAACAGUGAAUUUUAAUAAUUGGAUGCACAGCAGAAAAUUUCUACUGAGCUUCUCAAUAUAUCGUAAUGUUACUGCAUGACAAGUAUGUACAUGAUCAGUAUUGCAAUCUGACAGCAUAGGUCAAAGGUGUGACUUCAUUUUAUGUAUAUGUAGUCAGGCAAGCUUUUACUAGCUUGGGUACCAUCUAUGGCACAGCAAAAGUGCUGUGCAAGUAUGGUGAGUGCAUAUGUUGUGCUUUUUAGUGGACUUUGUUCAUGCUAGACUUGGCAUUACUAGGUUUCUGUAUCUCUGUCUAGUUUGAAACUGGGUUGAGUAUGUCUAAACAAGACAUGAUAUGGAAGACAGCAUAGAUGCCUCUCUGGAGGCCUUUGCCAGACCACUAUUGAACAGUGGUAGGAGGUAUAACUUACAGGAGGAGAUGUUUGAGAAUAAACCUGCUUAAAUUUUUAGUUCAGAGGGAAGUUUCCAUAUGACUCAAGCUAUGUUCUUCUGCCUCAGUUCUCCAUCUGUAAAGUCAAAUGCCUUGCCUAUCUCCUCUGUGUGUAAUGAGGAUAAAAGCUGCCCAAGUUUCUAAAGUAUGGAUUGCCUAGUUAUGAGAAUAAAUAUAUCAAUAAUGAAAAUGUUUCUUUUGCUGGUAAGGCCUUAAAACCUCCAAA